CUAUGGUGGGAAGUAGAUAACAAUGUAUCAGACCCCUUGACUUUUUCCACAUUUGUGAAGUUACAGCUAUUCUAAAAUGGAUUAAAUAAAUAAAUAAAAGGAGAUUUGUUGGCAGUGAGCACAGCAGCAGGACGGUGUGGAAGAGGAAGGCAGCAGGACGGUGUGGAGAGAGGCAGCAUGACGGUGUGGAGAGGAAGGCAGCAUGACGGUGUGGAGAGGAAGCAGAUGACGGUGUGAGAGGAAGGCAGCAUGGAGAGGAAGGCAAAGGACGGUUGGUGGAGAGGAAGGCAGCAGGACGUGUGGAGAGGAAGGCAGCAUGACGGUGUGGAGAGGAAGGCAGCAGGACGGUGUGGAGAGGAAGGCAGCAGGACGGUGUGGAGAGGAAGCAGCAAGGACGGUGUGGAGAGAAAGGCAGCAGGACGGUGUGUGGAGAGGAAAGGAAGCAUGGAGAGGAAGGCAGCAUGACGGUGUGGAGAGGAAGGCAGCAUGGAGAGGAAGGCAGCAUGGAGAGCAAGGCAGCAGGACGGUGUGGCGAGGAAGGCAGCAUGGAGAGGAAGGCAGCAGCACGGUGUGGCGAGGAAGGCAGCAGGACGGUGUGGAGAGGAAGGCAGCAGGACGGUGUGGAGAGGAAGGCAGCAUGGAGAGGAAGGCAGCAUGAGGUUGGAGAGGAAGGAGCAUGACGGUGUGGAGAGAAAGGCAGCAGGACGGUGUGGAAGAGAAGGCAGCAUGGGAGAAGGACAGCAUGGAGGAAGGCGCAGACGGUGUGGAGAGGAAGGCAGCAGGACGGUGGGGAGAGGAAGGCAGCAUGGAGAGGAAGGCAGCAUGGGAGAGGAAGAGCUACAGAGACGGUGUGGAAGGAGGCAGGGAGGGA
rnacentral:lncRNA from 1 species